UAUUUAUGCUGUGAUCGCUCUGGCUGCUUUACUUGGGCAGCUAACUCUGUGUUGUGACAGGACAGCUGGGACAUACAGAUAGUGAGAGUCUGAUCUGUAUCCACGUUUAAGUACUUGUGUUUCAUGCAAGCACAUGAACUGUACAAGAGGAAUUUAGGGGACAUAGCAGCUGCAUUCUGAGGAGAGAUUUCUCUCCUUUAUUUGGAGACAUGCAGGCUGUGGGGGAUAUAAGUGAGAAUUACAAAAUCUUGAAGGUGGUGGAGAAAGAGCAGAACUGUUACUCACCAAACUUUGUAAUAUUAGAAGUAGGGGCACUCUUUCAAACUAUGUGCAAGAUAGCUAAAGCAGACAAAGUAAAUAACUUUUCUUUACGAACAAAGCAAGUAAUGAAUUUGUGGAAUGUGCUGUCACACAAGAUUGAGCAGAACAAUAAUAGCAGCAGCCUUGACGAAAAGAGCAGACUGUACGAAGAGGAUUAAUUUAUGGGCAACAGCUUCAAAACAGCCCUGAAGAACUGAAAGGAAACAAAGCUGGGUAGCAGCCAUCUGGAUGUAUCCAAGGCCCCACCAAAGGCUCAUGAGACCUGACAGACUUGACAAACUUACUGCUCCUUCUAGGUCCUCCUUUGGCAUCCUAAUGUGCCAGCUUUCCUCUAAGGAAGGAGAUAUAUACUGCAAACAAGGAAUGAAGAAAAACUGAUCCAUUGGUAAAAUACAAGCGAGCUAUGUUCUGGAUGGCUUUCAUAUUGGGAAGUGCAUUUUCUUUUCCUAAGGGCCUAUAUGUUAUAUUUCUGGGAACUAAACUGGAGGAAGUUUUAGUUCACUCUGAACUCAAGUGAAGUGCAAACUAAGACAGCAGGGCAGUCCCUCUGGUCCUUUUCUUAUGCCAUGACUCAAGAGUUUGCAGAGGUUCUGUUUGAAGAAGGAAAUGCUGUGACUCCUACAACACUUUUCAAAGAGUUUUGACCUCUUUGAAUGGGGAUCAUCAGGAACACACUGCAAGCAGUAUCCACUCACCUUCCAGUUUCCUCAGAUUUCCUGUGCUUGUCAAGACGGGAGUGAAUGUUGACUUACUCUAGAGUGAAUGUCUAAUACAUCAUGCAAGUAAGUGCUUCCACUCUGCAGAGAGCACCAAAAAAUACACCAUCGUCACAUUCUGUCAGUAAGUUUGGCAUAACGGGGCUGUGAAUACAUUAGUAACAGUGUGUAAAAAAAAGAAAAAAAAGCACAUCAGGAGCCAGGAGAUUAACACUGACAAGAGAAUGUACCGUUAUUAAUAGAAGUAACCUAGCUUUUGAAUGAAACAUUUUACUAAUAUUCUUCUAAUAAACUCCUCAAUGUAGAACAAUUCCUUUCAGUUUACGACAUAAUAGAGCAAAUGAAUGUAUUGCAGUUCUAACUUCAAAAAAAGGGAAGAUGGAAGUCUGAUCCAUCAAAAUUUGCAUUUCCAACAGUAAAAAACAAACUAAGCAUUUCCUUAGCAAAACUAAUUCCGUUCCAAGUAAUUCUCUCCAGUCCCCAAGAUUCAUCUUGUUAUAGGAAUUAACCCACUUUCCAAAAACUAUUGCAGAGAAGUCUUUCCAGAGGGACCGAAUUUUCAUUCCCUUACCAUUUAUGUUGCCUAGAAACAAAAGAAGGCUGGCUUGUGGCCCCAUCAAAUCUCUGCUCUGCAAAAUCUUCCUGUGUGAUCUUGACCAAGUCACUCAAGACAAGUUUACACCUCACAGCAGAGAGCGCUGCAAAGUUUGUUCCCAAAUCAGGAAUGCACGUGGCAUGGCACGGCUCUACCAACACGGGCCCAGAGCCAGCACUGGUACAUUUCAGAUACCAUUGCAUGGAGGUGGUUCUGAACCAAUCAGCUGGUUCAGUCCACUGCACAAACUGUUGUAGGUCAAUAAUCACACAGACAGCUCAGGUCUCUUUUCCUCUUCAGUAAAAGCACGUGCUCAGGUUCUCUAACUCUUUUCUCCAUUUGCGGAAUGUGAAGAAUAGCACUCUCAUGUUUUGCAAAGAUGCUGUAGGUGUACCGUCAAGAAAACAGGUGAAGCAUGGAGACAGCACAGUACCAGAGAGGAGGAGGAGGGAGGAAUGCAACACAGAUCUCUAAAGCCUCUGGAGCACUUGAAAGUUUCUUUGGUGCAAUAACUUUAUCCACGGCUUCAAGAAACAAAGCAUCUAUUACUACUGAACCACACAAAUAAAACUGGGAACACUAAGGAUAAAGCUGUGAACAGCAAACUGCUUAGGACCAAUUUUACUGAGAAAAUAAUUAGAAUUAAUCAAAAAAUUCUUGAGAAAACAUCUCUGUUCUUGCAAAAUGCCAGUUUAUUGAAAUUGGUUGAAGAAAAACAAAUUUCUGCUAAGAAAGGUUACUCGGGUUCAGGGAGGAUUUUCUGAUCAAACCAAAAGGGAGAGAUGCCAAUUUCAGAAUGUCCUGACAAUCUGUAGGGUCAAAGAUAGGAGAGACUGAAGUUCAGAUUGCAUGCACACUGGGACUUGGCACAGGGAGUGAACCUAAGGUUCCAAAUAAGCUCCUGACCUACCACACCUCUGGCUAGCUUGCGAGAAGUGUCUUUUUUGCAUGUAGUUGAAUGCUCACUUUCACCCAUAGAAGAAAGCCUCACAUUGCAGUCCAAGGUCACUACACCUAUUUGGAUGUGAGAAAUGUGUGCUCAAAUUUCUAUUCCACAUGAAGCACUGGUGGGAUUUGAAUGUUGCUCCUCCAACAAACCAAAUACAUAGCCUGAGUGUCGGCGCAUUUGUUAUUCUGGUUCCAGUUAAACCUUCAGAGGUGUCUGGUUUUGUCCGUCACAAUGCAGAACAGGAAAAAGGGUCUUAUGGGAGUAGCCCAUUUCCUCCCCACCUCUAGAGAAAUAUCAGAUAGAAAGGAAAAUAAGAGUUUUAUGAUAAAAGAACUUCUAGUUUUAUCUAAAAGCUCACUGGAGAAGGUAAUGAACUUUAGAAUCAGGUACACUUAUUUCCAGUUUAUGUUACCCAGCUGUUUGGAUUUUGGUUUUGAUGUAUUUGGUUUUUUUGUUUGUUGUUUGUGUUGGGGUUUUUGUUUGGUUUGUUUUUUGUUUGUUUGUUUGUUUUUUUGCUAGUGUAACUUCAGACUCUAACUUCGCUAUGUCUGUUUAGCACAUGUCUGUUUAGUCUAUUAACUGUCUUGGGACUCCUAAAACUGGAGUUUGCCUCUCUUCAGAAAACAAAGCCUUUUUCCUUCCCAGCUAGGUAGAAUACUUAAUACCUGCUAACUAUUCAUAUUCCUUUCACAAAAUUUGAUGUAAAACCAUUUCAAUCUAUGGUCUUUCUCCGAAGGAAACAGCUGAACUUCAGAAAGCAUCUAUUCUUACCAUUCUUGCACUAGGCACCCAGGUAUCAAGGUGGUUUUUCUGUUCCCUCUCUGGAUGAAUUAAUCUUCAGAUGCCACUUCUGCGCACAACUCAAACUCUAGCUUUUGGUCUCACACCUUGCCUCUAAGCUGGGGUGGCACAGAAGCAAGAUGUUUGUCCCAACCUGAAAUGCCAUAGCCAAGCCCUGUCUAAGUUCCUUUCAUCAACAGGGUUAUUAUAAGAACAAAUGAGAAACUCCAAAUAAAACAAAUCCAUUGUAAAGUUCUGA